rnacentral:rRNA from 1 species
UACAGGGGGUGCAAACGUUGCUCGGAAUUAUUGGGCGUAAAGCGCGCGUAGGCGGCAACUUAAGUCGGAUGUGAAAGCCCCUGGCUCAACUGGGGAAGUGCACCCGAAACUGAGUCGCUAGAGUACAAAAGAGGGUCGCGGAAUUCCCGGUGUAGAGGUGAAAUUCGUAGAUAUCGGGAGGAACACCGGUGGCGAAGGCGGCGACCUGGUUUGAUACUGACGCUGAGGCGCGAAAGCUAGGGGAGCGAACUGG